rnacentral:rRNA from 1 species
GACGAACGCUGGCGGCGCGCCUCAUACAUGCAAGUCGAACGAGAAGCUCGGAGCUUGCUCCGGGUGGAGAGUGGCGAACGGGUGAGUAACACGUGAGAAACCUGCCCCGAAGACCGGGAUAACACCGGGAAACCGGUGCUAAUACCGGAUGUCCUUGCCGGACCGCAUGAUCUGGUAAAGGAAAUGGAUUCCGCUUCGGGAUGGUCUCGCGGCCUAUCAGCUUGUUGGCGGGGUAACGCCCACCAGCUACGACGGUAGCUGGUCUGAGAGGAUGGCCAGCCACAUUGGGACUGAGACACGGCCCAGACUCCUACGGGAGGCAGCAGUGGGGAAUAUUGCGCAAUGGGCGAAAGCCUGACGCAGCGACGCCGCGUGUGGGAUGACGG